rnacentral:tRNA from 1 species
GCCCCGGUGGUGUAGACAGUAAUUAAUACUGGCACAGCCCGGACUAUCAUACUGCCCUUUCGAGGCAGCGACCCGGGUUCAAAUCCCGGCCGGGGCG